rnacentral:rRNA from 1 species
AUUGAACGCUGGCGGUAGGCUUAACACAUGCAAGUCGAGCGGAGAGAGGUAGCUUGCUACUGAUCUUAGCGGCGGACGGGUGAGUAAUGCUUAGGAAUCUGCCUAUUAGUGGGGGACAACAUUUCGAAAGGAAUGCUAAUACCGCAUACGUCCUACGGGAGAAAGCAGGGGAUCUUCGGACCUUGCGCUAAUAGAUGAGCCUAAGUCGGAUUAGCUAGUUGGUGGGGUAAAGGCCUACCAAGGCGACGAUCUGUAGCGGGUCUGAGAGGAUGAUACGCCACACUGGGACUGGAGCACGGCCCAGACUUCUACGGGGGGAAGCAGUGGGGAAUAUUGGACAAUGGGCGCAAGCCUGAUCCAGCCAUGCCGCGUGUGUGAAGAAGGCCUUAUGGUUGUAAAGCACUUUAAGCGAGGAGGAGGCUACUUUAGUUAAUACCUAGGGAUAGUGGACGUUACUCGCAGAAUAAGCACCGGCUAACUCUGUGCCAGCCGCCGCCGUAAGAC